rnacentral:lncRNA from 1 species
GAAAGGUACCAGGUCUGUGCUCGCACAAAUCCUGAGCCUUAAUCCGGGACCCCAGCUUUCCUUGUUCAAGUUGGUUUCAGACCCAAGAGGAGAGCCCGCCACAAUGGCCACCAUUCAGCGCACCGCUGCGUCCUACGCAACCCCGGCAGCCAGCUCCUUGCGGCUCCAGCCCAGCCCCGCCCCGUCCCCGCUGCUUAGACCUUUACCCGCCGCGGUCCAGGCCGGGAGCGGUCGCCGCCGGAGUCUCUCGCUUACUCGCAGAGGCCCCGGCGCGGCGCGGCGCCGCGCUUCCUGCCCGCCCCGCCCGCCUGCGCGGAGCCCUGCCCUUUCUGGCUACCCGCCCGGCAGCGGGCACGCGCGAGAACGCGCCUCAGCGUUCCGGGCCUCCGGGUCCUGGGACGAGGGAGAUAGCGAGACAGGCUGGGGUCCCGGAGAGCAGGCCCGGGGCGGGGACUUCUUCCGCUUUCGUCCGGCCAUCUCCCCGCGCCUCCCAUGCUACUGUCUUCUGCAGGUCACCGAGCGACAAUCUCAUCCCAUUAGUCACCAUCUCUCAGGCAGGGCUUCUUGCAACGCCCAUUGUACAGAUGAACGCACUGCCGCUCAGAAAGGUGAAAUGACUUGCACCGCCGGUUGACCAACUUGGAAGAACCAGAUCAAGAAUCUGGGGCCUGGGUCUUCCUACCUCGGACCCCUGGACCUUCCCGAGGCGAUCUCACUCCCUCAUCCCCAGAACAUUCUUCCCUCUGUGCGUCUUCACUGCUUAAGCCUACCUCCUGGCAGAGAUCUUGGGAUCUUGGGUCUUCUCUCUGUACCUGGCUCUCUUCACCUCUGCCCAGAACCUCUGUCUGUGGCUUCUGGUCACUUGCCUCAAGGAAGAGAGAAGAAUGGGGCGAGGGACUGCUCCCACCUCUAACUGCCCUUCUUGUCUGGCACCCAGUCAUAGCCUAGCCCUGGGGCUCCCUGGUCCUCAAAACCCUCACUCUUGUCCCUGUGCUUCCAUACCUGGCAUGCUCAGGACCCUUGAAGCUGAGGGAGGCGUCACCCGCCACCCACAGCCAGGGCAUGCCUCCGCAAGCAAACACAGGUGUGCGCUGAACAGAGGCGUGCAGUAGGGAACUGGUAGAGAGGCAGCCGGGCAGGGCUGGGAAGAGAGGGCUUUGUGAUCUUGAUUUCAGCGAGGCAGCAGUGAGCAGUGGCUUGAAGCAAGAUCUUAAUUCCCUCUCCAGGGACUGAACCUGGGUAGCCUGGAUGAUAAACAGAAAUCCUAGCCACCAGACCAACAAGGGCUAGAGGCUAGAAAACAUUUUUCCCUGGAUCUUUGCCCCGGGUGAAAAAUACAUGUAUCACAGAGGCAGAAAUUGUAAAUGUUGGUACAAAGUAUCAUUAGAGACAUAGCACAACAGGUGGGAGAGCAUAUAGAGAAAUGGUUUGUUUAGUCAAGGCAGAAGCAAGGCAGAGAUGUACACCCGGAAAGAAGGGGUGUACCCCUUAGAGAGGAAGAGGGCAGUAAAAUAGCAGUGAAGUCAUUUAUAUAGGUCAGUUCUUCUGGGUCUUUGUCUUCCUUCAGCCAAUUACCUGGUUUCUUUUUCUUGACAUACCCUGGGACCCUCCCCUGGUUGCACAGGCAUCCUUCAGCCAAGAUUUAUCUCAAAAUGAAGGCUUCUGGGAGGCACAAGACUCAUUCAUUAUUGCCUGGAAUUAUCCCCUGAAUUUUGACCCUCAAGGAGCCUUUCUGCGCAUGUGUAGUGUCUCCUUUUUCCCAAAAAGGGGGGAAUGGAGAUCCCUUAAUCCUUUACUCGAACAGAGUUUUGCACAUCUUUGUCCUUGCCAUGACUAUUACCUUGACAAAGACUGGGGGGAGGCUGAUUAUAAAUUCCUCAACUGGAGCCUACCUAUCUCUUAUAUCAGGAAUUGCAAACAGUAGUUAACUAUCCA